rnacentral:rRNA from 1 species
CCUACGGGAGGCAGCAGUGGGGAAUUUUGGACAAUGGGCGCAAGCCUGAUCCAGCCAUGCCGCGUGCGGGAAGAAGGCCUUCGGGUUGUAAACCGCUUUUGUCAGGGAAGAAAAGGUUCUGGUUAAUACCUGGGACUCAUGACGGUACCUGAAGAAUAAGCACCGGCUAACUACGUGCCAGCAGCCGCGGUAAUACGUAGGGUGCAAGCGUUAAUCGGAAUUACUGGGCGUAAAGCGUGCGCAGGCGGUUAUGCAAGACAGAGGUGAAAUCCCCGGGCUCAACCUGGGAACUGCCUUUGUGACUGCAUAGCUAGAGUGCGGCAGAGGGGGAUGGAAUUCCGCGUGUAGCAGUGAAAUGCGUAGAUAUGCGGAGGAACACCGAUGGCGAAGGCAAUCCCCUGGGCCUGCACUGACGCUCAUGCACGAAAGCGUGGGGAGCAAACAGGAUUAGAUACCCUGGUAGUCCACGCCCUAAACGAUGUCAACUGGUUGUUGGGAGGGUUUCUUCUCAGUAACGUAGCUAACGCGUGAAGUUGACCGCCUGGGGAGUACGGCCGCAAGGUUGAAACUCAAAUGAAUUGACCGGNUGAGAGNGCGAGCGACGACGAGGGAGGAGG